AUGGGCGGGUCCGUGCUGCACGCGCGGCGGCGGUCCGACCCCAAGUUCGACCUCCGGGUCUGGGUGCGCAUCCUCCUCGCCGACCUCGAGUUCAAGAAGUACCUCUGGUCGCUCUACAACGCCCAAACCGGGUAUGUGGAAUCGUUGGACGACGAUGUGGAGAUUGUGGUGCCGGACGACGAUCAUGGGCUGUUCGCCAUCGACGUUCUCGAUCCUUCCUGGUUUGUAGAGCUACUGCAUCUGACUAUGGUGUAUCAUUUCCAUGAUAUGAUUGAUAUGCUCCUUGACUGUGGAUACGAGAAAGGAACAACACUAUUUGGAUAUGGUUAUGAUUUUCGUCAAAGCAACAGGAUAGACAAAGCAAUGGCUGGUUUGAGAGCAAAACUUGAGACGGCUUACAAGGCCUCUGGUGGGAAAAAAGUAAACAUAAUCUCCCAUUCUAUGGGAGGAUUGCUAGUACGCUGUUUCAUGUCUAUGAAUCAUGAUAUAUUUUCGAAGUAUGUCAAUAAAUGGAUUUGCAUUGCUUGUCCAUUUCAAGGUGCCCCAGGAUGCAUCAAUGAUUCUCUUCUAACUGGACUGCAGUUUGUUUAUGGUUUUGAAAGUUUCUUUUUCGUUUCUCGAUGGGCGAUGCACCAACUGCUGGUUGAGUGCCCAUCAAUCUACGAAAUGCUGCCAAAUCCAAACUUUGAGUGGAAGGAAAAACCAAUCGUUCAGGUUUGGCGAAAGAAUCCUGAAAAGGAUGGAACAGUAAAGCUAGUUUUGUAUGAAGCAACUGAUUGUGUUUCUCUGUUUGAAGAAGCUUUACAAAAUAAUGAGCUCAAUUAUAAUGGGAAGACAAUUGCACUACCAUUCAAUAUGUCCAUCUACAAAUGGGCUACUGAGACUCGCCGUAUUCUCGAGAAUGCUGAACUACCAGAUACCGUGAGUUUUUAUAGUAUACAUGGGACAUCUUAUGAAACACCAUAUGAUGUUUGCUAUGGCUCUGAAAGCUCCCCAAUUGGAGAUCUCUCAGAAGUGUGCCGCACAGUGCCUACAUACACAUAUGUGGAUGGAGAUUGCACCGUUCCUGUCGAAUCAGCCACGGCUGAUGGGUUCCCAGCGAAAGAAAGGGUAGGCGUCAGGGCCGACCACCGAGGGCUGCUGUGUGAUGAGAAUGUGUUCAAGCUUCUCAAGAAAUGGCUCGGCGUAAGUGAGAACGCACGGGGUAGGGUGUCGAAAUCGCAAAUCAUGGACAUGCCCCCAGAGAGGAUCCCUGAUCAGGCCAGUCUCUGA
rnacentral:rRNA from 1 species